GAUGGUUCUUCUUUGUCCCAAGCAUAUAGCAAUGGUGUUUUUGUCUACAAAGUGGGUGUCUUGGGGCAGGAGAGGCUCGAGAAUUUUAGUACCUGAAGAAAAUCUAUGCUACCUAGAAGAGAGUGGACUAGCAGCUAGGGUGAAGGUGUAGAUUUUUUCUACGUACUGAAAUUCUUGAUACAACCUCUCCCACCCCAAAACGCCUAACUUGUAAGCAAAGGCACUAUCGCUGUAUGCUUGGGACAAAGAAAGACUAUUAUCAAGUUAA
rnacentral:pre_miRNA from 1 species